rnacentral:rRNA from 1 species
GGAGGGGGGGCUAGCGUUGUUCGGAAUUACUGGGCGUAAAGCGCGCGUAGGCGGGUUGUUCAAGUUGGGGCGUGAAAGCCCGGGGGCUUUAACCCCCGGGAAUUGCGCUCAAAACUGGACAGCUAGAGUCCCGGAAGAGGAGAGUGGAAUUCCCAGUGUAGAGGUGAAAUUCGUAGAUAUUGGGAAGAACACCAGUGGCGAAGGCGGCUCUCUGGUCCGGUACUGACGCUAAGGUGCGAAAGCGUGGGGAGCAAACAGGAUUAGAUACCCUGGUAGUCCACGCCGUAAACGAUGAGUGCUAGAUGUUGGUGGGCAUGCCCAUCAGUGUCGCAGUUAACGCAUUAAGCACUCCGCCUGGGGAGUACGGUCGCAAGAUUA